UGCCCCAGGAACACAGAAUUUGCCACACAAUAUCCUUGUCCUCCUGGAACCUACAGUGAAGCUUUAAAUCUCUGGGAUGCUUCCAAGUGCCAGCUGUGCCCUCCUGGAAAGGUCUGUUCCAAGCCAGGCCUGGCAAGACCAGAUGGACUGUGCAUGCCUGGGUGGUUUUGUCCACCUGGAUCCACGUCAAGCAAACCAGUGUUUCCUGGGAAUUACUCAGGGAUGGCAGCCCCACCUUCUGGAUCUGUUGGGUUGUGCCAAGCAGGAACCUUUUGUCCUGCUGGGUCAUUUCUUCCUCUUCCCUGCCCUCCAGGUUGGUUCUGUGCCACCUCAGAGCUGGCAGCUCCAUCAGGUCCCUGCCAGGCUGGAUUUUACUGCACAGGGGGCUCCCCACUCCCCAACCCCAGGGAUGGAGCAGUGGGAAACAUCUGUCCCCGAGGCCACUUUUGCC